CUCAAAUCCAGGCCCACGUCUUCCUCCCUGACCCGUGGGAGCCCUUAGAGUGCCAGAGGGCUGGUUUCUUACUGCAUGUGUCUCAGAAUGAAGCUCUCAGUCUCAAUACCAUGCCAAUUCUACCUGGAUUCCACAAAGCUCUGCUACCAGUACUUCUGAAAUUCUGCCACGUGUAACUCUCACACUUGCGGUCCACGGGUGCAGGAAGGCCAGCCCUGGGGGUGUGCUCAAGGGCCACUGGCUCCAGCUUUCAUCCACUGGACUCUUCUUGGAAACAAAGCACCGAGUG